GGACCCAUCACGGAUGUCGCGCCAUUGACUGUACAUUACGGAUGCGCGAAUGACUAUAUGUGUAUUGCAUAUGAUACAAACACAUUGAGUAUACAAUUCUACUCUGCGCAUACAAUAUUUUGUAGUCAAAUUGUCAAAACUUUAACUUGUCCUUGUUUAUAUUCCAUUCUAUUGUAUAAAUUCGCGGGGUACAAAUCCCGUACAAUAUUACAAAGAAACGGUGAAAUGCUAAAAGCGUGGCGUGAUCCUCAGCAGAUGUUUUCGUAAUGCCCAAUGAAACACAAGUAUUACUCACAAAUACAAACGUUAUCUAUAAAUGCACAUGGCCUCUGAUGGACAUAGGGACUCAGGAGGUCUGGAACUGGUAAUUGUGCGCGUGCGUACAAGUGUAUGGGCUAAUAAAGUAAGAUGUACCACAAGCAUGGCAUGAGCCGGCUACUACGUACAUAAAU